rnacentral:lncRNA from 10 species
AGCUCUGUCAGGCUGAGGUGGAAUUUUCCGGAGCCCCGGGGGCUGUGCAGGUGCGGGAGGGAGAGUCUGUCAGGCUGAGGUGGAAUUUUCCAGAGCCCUGGGAGGAGGAUUCCCAGCAUCAGGUGAGCGGUGACUUCUGACGCACUGUGGAAGCUACAGGCAGGGCUGAGUCGGCGGCAAGGAGCAGGACCUCCUGUUAGAAAGUCCCAGAAAGAAACAAACCCUCGGGGACCACCCAGAAGGCCAGGAUCAUCCGAGGGGCCGCCCCGUGGGGUCUCCAUGGCUGCACGUGCAUCCUGAGGCCCAAGUCCUCCUCACAGUGGCUUCACUGGGUGCUGGGACUCUGCAGGGACCGAGCUGUUGGUGCUCCAGCAUUCAGGGAGCUCCUGCCUUGGGGUGGACAGACAGCAGAUAUGGAGCCACUUGACCCUCCUAUAACGCGUGCAGUGGGUCCUAUUACCCCCCCAUUUACGGACCAAGGGCAGGGAGGUGGAGACACUGGCUGGAGGCCGCGCAGCAGGGAAGUGGCAGUCAGGAGGCAGCCCAGGCCCUCCCAUCCGACUUCAGAGGCCAGACGCACGCCUUCUAGACGCUGACUCACAAGCCAAGUCACUCCUUCCUGACACUCACGCCACCAUGUCCUCCCCAAAGUGCAUUUGCAUUUUAACAGCCAUCUUCCGUGAGCUGACUCUGUGGUUUUCAGUCAGUGGUUUCCAGUCGGCUAUUUGUCAUAAGGUAUUUACGCUGACGUAUAACAGGAUUAUGAGUGUUUUAAUGAAUUAAUAGGUAUUUUAAAUGCUAUUUAAAUGUACUACCUCAAAAGGCUGAGAAAUGUGGGGCCUCUGUGUGGAUGUGUCAGUGUGUGUGUCUCUGUGUGUGUCAGCGUGUGUGUCUGUAUCAGUGUGUGUGUCUGUGUGAGAGUGCGAGAGUGUGUGUCCGUGAGAGUGUGUCAGUGUACGUGAGUCUGUGUGUCGUGAGUGUGUCUGUGUGUGCCCGCGUGUCAGUGUGUCUGUGUGUGUCAGUGUGUGUGAGUGGUCGAGAGUGUGUCCGUAUGUGAAUGUGUCAGUGUUUGUGUGUGUGUGUCAGUGUGACAGAGUGUGUGUGUUUGUGCCUGUGUGUCAGUGUGUCUGUGUGUGUCAUUGUGUGUUUCUGUGUGUGAGAAAGUGUGUGUCCGUGUGUGUUAGUGUCUGUGUGUGUGUGUGUGAGUGUGUGUGUGCACGCAUACACACGCAUAUAACUCUGCUGUGGCUUCUAUAACAAAGUACCGUGGACCGAGCAGCUUGAACAACAGAAACUCCCUUCCCCGCAGUCCUGAGGUCCGGAAAUCUGAGAUCACGGCGUGGGCAGGGCUGGUUCCUCCUCAGGCCCCUCCGUGGCCUGCAGACGCCAUCCUCUCCCUGUGUCCUCACGUGGUCAUCCCUCUGUCAGCGUCUGCUUCCCAACUUUUUCUUCUUAGUCCGUUCUCACCUGGCUAUAAAGAAGUCCCUGAGGCUGGGUAAUUUAUGAAGAAAAGCGCUUUAAUUGGCUCAGGGAUCUGCAGGCUGUACGGGAAGCGUGACGUCAUCUGUCUCUGGGGUGGCCUCAGGAAACGUCCAGUCAUGGCGGAAGAAGAAGGGGAAGCCAGCUCAUCACAGGGGGAAGCAGGAGUGAGAAAGAGGAGGGGGGAUGUGUCACACACUUUUAAAAGACCAGGACUCCUGUGAACCCAGGGCUCGAGCUCACUUAUCACCAAGAGGCUAGCCCAGCCAUUCAUGAGGGAUCCACCCCCAUGAUCCAAACACCUCCCUCCAAUCCCCACCUCCAACACUGAGGAUCACAUUUCCACAUGAGAUCUGGGCAGGGACAAAUACCCAAACUGCAUCCUAAAGACACCGGUCAGAUUAGAUUAGGGCCCACUCCAAAGCCCUCAUCUUAGUUUAGUUACCUCUUGAAAGACCCUGUUUCCAAAUACAGCCACAUUCUGAGGUCCUGGGGGUUAAGACUUCAACAUAUGGAUUUGGGGGAUACAACAAACGCCAUUUGGGGGUCACAGUGACUGAGGGUGCUCCUGGAUUUUGUUGGGGUGAUGGUUGAGCAAGGUUGCUAUUCACCCUUCAGUAGGUAGGACACCCCCCCAAGGGAUAUCUACCCAGCAAAACGCCAACAGUGUGCUCUCUCAGGAAGACUUCCUGAAAACAAAGAGCCAGGUAGAAUCUCAGCACACGGCAGGUCGCUGGUUGAUGUUUUCAAGAAGCAGCUUUGGGGGUUUCCUCAAAUCCAUCCAAUGAGAUUCCAUCUCUUUUAUCUGAGCAUCUAGGAUGUUCAAGGAGAAACGGCUCCGCUUUUUCCUGCUUCUCCAGGAAUCCAGCUUAGUGGGUUUACCUGCCUCUGUCCAAGGUGCUCCGUUGUGAGUAGCCCCUGCCUCUGGGUGUGCAGGUGAUUUGGGGACUGAGAGCUGAGGCGCUAAAGUUAAAAUGGCUUAACGUGUGUGACUGUGUGUGAAUGUGUGUGUGUACGCGUGUGUGCGUGCGUGUGUGUGUCUGUGUGUGGGAAUGGGUGUGAGUGUGUAUGAGUGUGUGUGGGAAUGGGUGUGUGUGGGAGUGCAUGUGUGUGGGAAUGUGUGGGGGAAUGGGUGUGUGUGGGAAUGGGUGUGCGUACGUGUGUGUGUGGAAAUCGGUGUGUGUGUCUUGUGUGGGAAUGGGUGUGUGUGUGGGAAUGGGUGUGUGUGUUACAGUGUGUGAGUGUGUGUGUGUGGGAAUGGGUGUGAGUGUGUGGGAAUGUGAGUGUGUGUGUGGGAAUGGGUGUGAGACUGUAUGAGUGUGUGUGGGAAUGUGUGUGUGGGAAUGUGAG